CCUACGGGAGGCAGCAGUGGGGAAUAUUGGACAAUGGGGGGAACCCUGAUCCAGCGACGCCGCGUGAGUGAAGAAGUAUUUCGGUAUGUAAAGCUCUAUCAGCAGGGAAGAACAAGACGGUACCUGACUAAGAAGCCCCUGCGAACUACGUGCCAGCAGCCGCGGGCAUACGAAGGGGGCAAGCGCUCUCCGGUUCUACUGUGUGUAAAGGGAGCGUAGACGGUGCCGCAAGUCUGAUGUGAAAGGCCGGGGCGCAACCCGGGGACUGCAUUGGAAACUGGUGAACUGGAGUUCAGGAGAGGAGAGUGGAAUUCCUAGUGUAGCGGUGAAAUGCGUAGAUAGUAGGAGGAACACCAGUGGCGAAGGCGGCUUACUGGACUGUAACUGACGUUGAGGCUCGAAAGCGUGGGGAGCAAACAGGAUUAGAUACCCUUGUAGUC
rnacentral:rRNA from 1 species